rnacentral:rRNA from 1 species
UAGGCUGCAACUCGCCUCAUGAAGUCGGAAUCGCUAGUAAUCGCGGAUCAGCAUGCCGCGGUGAAUACGUUCCCGGGCCUUGUACACACCGCCCGUCACACCAUGAGAGUUUGUAACACCCAAAGCCGGUGGGGUAACCUUUUGGAGCCAGCCGUCUAAGGUGGGACAGAUGAUUGGGGUGAAGUCGUAACAAGGUACC